GGUGGUUUAGUUCCAGCUAGGAUGCUUCUACACCUGAAUCCAAGGAGUGGAGCACCAGGACUGCACUCUUCCAUUCUGUUCGCCCACCUCCUGCCCUCAGUCAAAAAAAUAGAAAAGUGAAGCUGCGUGUGUUCCUCAGUAGAAUCAACUGUCGACUUCAUCAAAAGAGGACACCAUGGUCCAGCUGCUCUACCAAGAUGCCAUCACUGACCAUCUAUCAGAACAGUUGAUGGGUUCCAUGCUAAUACUGAUAUUGCUUGGAUUUCAUUGAUCUAUUAGUUAGGAUUCUCUAGGGGAACAAAACCAAUGGGAUUAACAUACAAAACAUUUAGUUAACUCUAAAUUUAAUAAAAAUUUAAUGUCUGUUAAUAAGUAUUUAACCAAAAAAAAAAAAACAACAAAAUCACACCAGAGAACUGAGAACCCAGUAGUUAUUCAGUCCUUGAGGCUGAGUGCUUCAGCAGUGGGAGUAGUCCCACAAAGACUGUCUUUUUAUGAGGGUAGGCUGUCACUAGUCUCAAUCUAGCGACAAAAAUCUGGAAGGUUCCUGGAGAACUGCUGGUCCCUAGUCCAAGAUGAAAUUUUGGAAAUGCUUGUUCUAGUAUCAUCAACAGAAUCAUCAUCAUCAUCAUCAUCAUCAUCACCAUCACCAUCACCAUCAUCAUCAUCAUCAGCGGCAGCAGCAGCAGAAACAGCAGCAGCAGGAAUAGAGCAGAUUAACAGAGUUGUAAGAGGGAAGGCCAGGCAAGCUAAUGUUGAGAUGAUUUUCCUUCUGCAAUGCUCCCGUUACUUGGACUGCUGUCAGAAGUUGCCGUUCACAGUGGGGUGCAUAUCAUCACAUAAUCAUCAAAGAGAUCAGGAUGAUUUUUCUGGUGCAUCUCCUACUCAGAAGCUUGCUCAUCUGUAUCUAUGUGCUCAAUAAGGUGGGGUGGCGAGUGACUUGUGGAACUGGCUCCCUUCCAUCAGCUCUUAUGAGGCAACAAACAGAUUUGCGUCAACCCCUGACCUGCUGGAUACCAGGCAUGUCCUAACUGCUGAACAGUGAGACGCCAGUCAGUCCUGACCUUCCACUAGCUCCUGAACUGGCUGGUCACAGAUGGAAUGAUCCUUGAGCCUGGAUGAGUUCCAGAUGGAAGAGCCACAGCUGAUCUCUCACUGUUAUAUAAGAUGAACAAGAAAGGAAGCUCUGAUGAUGUAAGCUAUUAAGAUUUGGAAGUUGGAAUGUCUUUUCUCACACAGUAUAAUUCAGACUAAGUUGACUGAUAGAAUCAGCAUCCUCCUCAGAAGCUGGAGAAUUGUUUUAAUAAGAAUAAAAGGAAAGUCAGAAGAACUAAAGUCAUCAAGAAUGAAUUGUUGAGGAGGGAGGGGGAAACUGUGGUUAAACUAUAAAAUUAAUAAAUAAGUGAAUGAAUGAAUGAAAUGAAAUGAAAUGUUGUUUCGAGAUUCUUAGCUUAUCAUCUUCAUACAUCCUUAGUAAGAUAUUGAACAUCAAGCAAGCUAUUUUCGGUAAUAUUGGAUGCCCAUGGUUGAAGGCACCUGGUAAUCUUUCUUCUUUCCAGGAUGAAUAUAGGUCUGGAAUUUUAAUAUCUAAACCUCUCCCUUUCCUUUUCUCUUACAUCCCACCAUUAAGCUUGCAUUAUGGACUUCUCUGCUAGGAGACCAUAUUGUUUGAAGAGUACUGGAAAAACAGACCAUCUGAAUUUGUAGUGGAACUCACAGCAAUGAUUGGGCAUGAAAUUCCAAACAGCAUUUUGGCCAAGUGCAGAGAAUUAACUGAGGUGAACUAGCUAGUCUGAUAGACUUGAAACUACACUUAUAUUAAAGGGAAAGACCACUGAAUGCAGUGCACGAGAGCGCUUCAGACCACAAAUCCUCAAGUCUUUGGUUUUGACUCCAGUUGCACCACUCAUAAUUUUAAUGUCCACUUUCAUCUCUGAAAAUGAUGUAAUGAAUACAUGUGUCUUUUGGUCGGUCUGUAUUCAAAUUCUGGGUAGCUUAUUAGGCGUUGGUCCAUGGGAAGCUGUUUGUCAUUUCUCAAUGUCAAUGUCUUCUGUCGGAAUAGAGGGGCAGUGAUAGCAUCUGCCUAAUGUGGUCAUUGCAAAAAUAAAAUGAAUUAAUGGCUCCAUAGUCUGGUAAAGAGCCUCAUGAACUUGAAUAAUGUAAGCUACCUUCACAGCUAUCACACAUCAUUUUUGUUGCUCUUUCUCAAUUUAUUAUGCAACUUACAUUUCUUUGACUGUGAUUCUUUGAGGGUAGCAGGAAUUGAAGAUGUUUUAUGCAUCAGCCAUAGGGCAAUAUUAGGCCAUAUUAGGGCAAUAUCUUCUUGUCAGACCACUGAAGUCAAGAAUAAUGUGUAGCCACAAGUUAAUUAUAAAAGGCAUGUCCACUUGGGUAAUGUGUUCCCAAUAUAAUCCUUUGUGUUGAAGUUUUAAUCUGACUUACUUGCUUUCUACACCAGGAUUUCUGAGCCAUGAAAAUGAAUUUUACCAAGCAGACACUAGGUAAUAAAUCCUAUCACACAGAAAGGAAGGAACUGAUUCUUUCUUCUGAGCUUUUAAAAAGACUGCUGUGUAUGAGGUAUCUAUAUGGAGCCUCUUUUGGCAUAGCUGACAUGGCCUUUGAGAGACGUUGGGAAUUGUGCAAAGCCAUAUCACUUUAGGAACAAAAUAAUUUCAACCUAGAUUUAAAAAAAAAAUUAUUUUGGCCAAGCAAAAGAUAACUGUGGGAUAAUAAUUUUCCCUACAGUUGUAGAACUUAGAUGCAUUCUGAGGAGUUUUAUGCCAUCUUCCAUAUUCAAAUUUUUGGCUUGUGGGUAAGGUGUCUGUUCAAGUUAGUUGAGAUAUACCAGAGCUCUGUUGAAACUGGCAGCUUGCUCAUGAAAACAGCCUGUUGGCCAUAGCUUUGUCUUAAAACACAAAGGCUGAGCUCUUCAUUCAACCCAGUGAGACAGUGAAAUGUGAUGGAGCUUAGAAAGGAGACAGUAAGAAAGGACCGCAUCAGCUUUGGGAGACUGUAGAAGUUAGGGUUGUUUUCCUCCAAGGUUCUUUCCUCUCGGUGUUUUCCCCACAAGGCUUGGCUUCUCUUUUCUUUUUUUCUUUUUUUCCCCCCUGUGCAUUACACACAGCAACAGCACCACCUACUGGCCUGUUCUAUUGCUGAUUUUCUGUGGUGAUUUUUGUAGCUUCCCUGGGGGAUUUAUUUAGCCAUGCUUUCACUUUCAAGACCCUGCUCUUGUUCUCCUGAGUACCAUCGUGGUAAAGCUGUUUUGUAGUUAACUUAAUAGCUCUCUAUUAUUAAAACAGAUAUCUCAAAAUAAACUCUGAGUUCCUAUACCA